UACGGAAGGUGCAAGCGUUGUUCGGAAUGACUGGGCGUAAAGCGCACGUAGGCGGACUCGUAAGUCGAAGGUGAAAACCCCGGGCUCAACCCGGGAACUGCCUGCGAAACUGUGAGCCUUGAAUGCUCGAGAGGUCAGUGGAAUUCCUGGUGUAGGAGUGAAAUCCGUAGAUAUCAGGAGGAACAUCAGCGGCGAAGGCGGCUGGCUGGCGACGCAUUGACGCUGAGGUGCGAAAGCGUGGGGAGCAAACAGG
rnacentral:rRNA from 1 species